rnacentral:rRNA from 1 species
CAAGACAUGAAGUUAGGUCAGCAAACCCGCUGAAUUUAAGCAUAUAAGUAAGCGGAGGAUAAGAAACUAAAUAGGAUUCCCUCAGUAAUGGCGAAUGAACAGGGAAAAGCUCAGUAUGGAAAUUGGGGCCUCUGGCCUUGAAUUGUAGUCUUGAGAUGGCAUUGCCAGCGGAGGCGCAGAUGUAAGCCUAUUGGAAAAUAGCAUCAAUGAGGGUGAGAGUCCCGUUUGUCAUCUGCAGUCCCCCGUGUUCGGUGUGCUUUCUAAGAGUCACGUUCCUUGGGAUUGGAGCGCAAAUUGGGUGGUAAAUUUCAUCUAAAGCUAAAUAUUGGUUCGAGACCGAUAGCAAACAAGUACCAUGAGGGAAAGGUGAAAAGGACUUUGAAAAGAGAGUUAAAAGUGCCUGAAAUUGCUGAAAGGGAAGCGAAUGGAACCAGUCUUCUUGGUGAGAUUGUUGCACGCUAUGGUGAUUGCUUGCUGCUUCAACGCAAGUGUUGCAGUGGGUUUUGAUCCUGACGUGUGCUUUGUUUCUUACCUCGUGUGUCAACGUCGGUUCGGAAUUGAGGAAAACUCUAGGGACAUGGUAACUCGCCUGCGGGUGAGCCAAUGUGCCUGGUAGAACUCAUUUCUUAACUGAUUUCUGCAUGUCUGGUCGCAGUGUUUCAUUACCUGUGUUCUGGUAUUGCGCUUGUGGCUCUUCUGCUGCUUGUUGCGUUGCUGGGCCUGGUCGUGGAGCAUCUCCCUGACAUUAGUACGAUGACAAAAUGGUUUCAUUCGACCCGUCUUGAAACACGGACCAAGGAGUCUAACAUAUGUGCAAGUUCAUGGGUGUUAAACCUAAUUGCGCAAUGAAAGUGACUGCUGGGAUAUUUGCACCAGCAACCGACCAAUCAAUUGUGAGAGGUUUGAGUAUGAGCAUAUCUGUUAGGACCCGAAAGAUGGUGAACUAUGCGUGAGAAGGGUGAAGUCAGGGGAAACUCUGAUGGAGGCUCGUAGCGAUACUGACGUGCAAAUCGUUCGUCAUACUUGCGUUAUAGGGGCGAAAGACUAAUCGAACCAUCUAGUAG